rnacentral:rRNA from 1 species
CACGUGGGGAACCGUCGCCCCACUAGUCUGGGAUACCACUUGGAAACAGGUGCUAAUACCGGAUAAGAAAGCGGAUCGCAUGAUCAGCUUUUAAAAGGCGGCGUAAGCUGUCGCUAUGGGAUGGCCCCGCGGUGCAUUAGCUAGUUGGUAAGGUAAAGGCUUACCAAGGCGAUGAUGCAUANCCGAGUUGAGAGACUGAUCGGCCACAUUGGGACUGAGACACGGGCCCAAACUCCUACGGGAGGCAGCAGAA